rnacentral:rRNA from 1 species
GAAUGAUGGUGACUUAAACCCUCACCAGAGUACCAAUUGGAGGGCAAGUCUGGUGCCAGCAGCCGCGGUAAUUCCAGCUCCAAUAGCGUAUAUUAAACUUGUUGCAGUUAAAAAGCUCGUAGUUGAAUUUCAGCGUUUCGCGUGUGCCUCUUUUGGCCCAUCUCGUCUCGCUUUUUUUAUUACUUUGAGAAAAUUAGAGUGUUUCAAGCAGGCUUUUGUCUUGAAUACUUGAGCAUGGAAUAAUAGAGUAGGACCUUGGUUCUAUUUUGUUGGUUUUGUUACCUUGGUAAUGGUUAAUAGGAACGGUUGGGGGCAUUCGUAUUUAACUGUCAGAGGUGAAAUUCUUAGAUUUGUUAAAGACGAACUACUGCGAAAGCAUUUGCCAAGGACGUUUCCAUUAAUCAAGAACGAAAGUUAGGGGAUCGAAGACGAUCAGAUACCGUCGUAGUCCUAACC